GCCUUCGUGGUUUAGUGAUCAGCAUGCUCGACUCAUAUUCGAGAGGUCCGUGGUUCAAGUCCUGGCGAGGGCA
rfam:Stegodyphus mimosarum contig86906, whole genome shotgun sequence.